AUGAUCGUUUUGACUUUGGAGAAGUGUCAGGAAUUGCACAGGGACAGACUGAGUGAACAAGGUGGACAAAUGAAAAACCAGCUUGUCUUUCCCCUUCAUGUUUUGCCUGUAGGUGUCAUGAUGUUUCCUGUCAUCUUUCUAAGCCAUCAAUAUUACAUGUUCAUUGACAAGUGCCGCUGUUAUCAUGGUACAAUGGCCAUUUUGCAUCACCUUAGAUCAAAUCUGAGAUAA
rnacentral:lncRNA from 1 species